rnacentral:rRNA from 1 species
UAGGGAAUCUUCCGCAAUGGGCGAAAGCCUGACGGAGCAACGCCGCGUGAGUGAAGAAGGAUUUCGGUUCGUAAAGCUCUGUUGUUAGGGAAGAAUGAUUGUGUAGUAACUAUACACAGUAGAGACGGUACCUAACCAGAAAGCCACGGCUAACUACGUGCCAACAGCCGCGGUAAUACGUAGGUGGCAAGCGUUGUCCGGAAUUAUUGGGCGUAAAGCGCGCGCAGGUGGUUUAAUAAGUCUGACGUGAAAGCCCACGGCUCAACCGUGGAGGGUCAUUGGAAACUGUUAAACUUGAGUGCAGGAGAGAAAAGUGGAAUUCCUAGUGUAGCGGUGAAAUGCGUAGAGAUUAGGAGGAACACCAGUGGCGAAGGCGGCUUUUUGGCCUGUAACUGACACUGAGGCGCGAAAGCGUGGGGAGCAAACAGGAUUAGAUACCCUGGUAGUCCACGCCGUAAACGAUGAGUGCUAAGUGUUGGUCUCAUAAGAGAUCAGUGCUGCAGCUAACGCAUUAAGCACUCCGCCUGGGGAGUACGACCGCAAGGUUG